UACGUAGGGAGCAAGCGUUGUCCGGAUUUACUGGGCGUAAAGGGCGCGUAGGCGGCGCGGUAAGUCACUUGUGAAAUCUCUGAGCUUAACUCAGAACGGCCAAGUGAUACUGCAGUGCUAGAGUGCAGAAGGGGCAAUCGGAAUUCUUGGUGUAGCGGUGAAAUGCGCAGAUAUCAGGAAGAACACCCGUGGCGAAGGCGGCUUUCUGGGACGGUACUGACGCUGAGAAGCGAAAGCAUGGGGAGCGAACAGG
rnacentral:rRNA from 1 species